AAGGAGAGCGGAAAGUUCGGCGAAAUUACAUUGCCUUCCUCCUGCGCCCCGCGCCCAGUUCAGCCCUUCUCACCCCCGCGAUCCAAACUUUAUUCUGUCCACCAGUGUUACUGUCCCUCUGGCCCGCUGACUCCCCAGGACCCUGAGGUCCCCAGACACAGGGCCCCAGUUGCGCUUCCUGUGAUACGUAUCGGCGCAACCCUACAACUGCGCUGCAGGCGAGGAUCCUCAGUCCGGGUGUGAAACCAGAACCACGCCGGUUGUGCUCGAGAUUUGGGAGAAGAAACGCCUUGGGUUCCCCAGCCCUUAAGGACAGAGUCCAGCACCGGCUAACAGCCUGUUACAAAGGGGGGAGGGCCCGCGACCGGCUAGAGGCCACCCCCAGGGCGGGGAUCACCUCCGGGUUCCCGCUCGGAGCUGCUCGUAAUUCGGGCUUCGGUCCUCGGGGGAAGAGUGCCUGUGAGGAAAGGAGACUUACGAAACCUUCAGAUGCCCUCAGGAGGACCCGGGAGGAAGCGCCCAGGCGGACCUGUGGUCGGCGGAGUUUAGCUCAGCCACUGCCAGACGGCGGAACCCUGAGCCGGGCGGUGGGAUUUUUUUGGGGCCUCGCCAGCUUCGGCGUUCUGCUGCGGUGUGCGAAACGGGGGAAGAUAAAAUGCAGGAUUCUAUAUAUUCAAAAAAGGGGUUUUCGGUCUGAAUUGCCAUGGUACAUGUUUUGCUUUUGACGCACGCAGUGCCGGGACAAUCUUUUUCAAAACAACUUCUGCACUAGUUCAGCUAACUGAAAAACAGGUCAUAGCAGCACCGAGGAACUUCAUUUACAGAAGCAAAUUUCGACUCCUUUUCCUGACUGGCUGAAGGCCCCCGGAACUUUGAAGGCCCUGCUUUCCUCUAGGUUCAGAAACCGAAGGUCUGGAAACUCGCUUCGCCAACCCUUUCCAUAACAUCUCCCUCCCUCGCCAAAAAGAACGGUGGUUCAAUGAUCGUGAAUGAAGCCACUGUCCACCUUCGGGGCAAAGGGCAUCAUAUCAGGGCACGCCGUGGGUACCUCCAAGGUUGAAGUCAAUAGCACCCAGGAGGAGGGCCAAGGCCAGAGCGAGAGCUCCCUGAGGCCGCGCAGCAGGUGUACCUGAUCCGCGGCAGCAGGUGUGUUUUGCAGGAAAAUACCAAGCGAGAUGGCCGCCCAGGUCAAAGAGAUCGUGGAGAGGUACUUGAACAGGCCUGCGGGCCCUGGGACAAACCUCCAGAGUCCCACCCCACCCCCGAGUCGCUCACCUGAGGUCUUCCGCCGCGGCCGCGGGUGGCCUAAAGUCCAGGCGCCAGGGGCGUGGAGGGGGCCGACCACAUUCGCUCUCUUUUCUGGCCAGAGUCCCUCUGGUAGAAACUACAAGGUCCCACCCCAUGAUUAUUUGCCUUUUAUUAACCUACCAAUCCCCCUGCUAAUGUGGCUAAGUGUGAAUUAAGACUCAAUAGCCAGAGAUUCUAGGUAAAAGACCUCUGCAGGCGACAUGGAACCCCGCCUUCAUCUUGGUAGCUUUACCUGAGAGCCCUCUGGGCUGGCACAGGUCUCAAAGUCUCAAAAUCAGCCAGAGACGGUCGGUUCAUGACCCUUUCUAAGAUACAAGACCACGGGGACUUUUGCCCAGUUAAAAUGUUUAACUUUUGCCAGUUUUGGUAAGCCGUAGAGGAGGAUUUCAUGUAUUGUCUCCCUCCAUUUUAUUUGGGAGAAACGAAAGAAAAUUUAGGAAUAGUGGCAUCUCUGUCUCUAAACCUUCAGCCUAUACUUGUGGAGACCAACUAGUUGCCUUCAAGGAAUUCCGCGCUAAGGGCUGGGUUUGAACCGUUACAGACCUAAGGAUGGGUUUGAACCUUAAAGAACCAAAUCCUCCAUUGUGGGUAAUGGGCUUAAUUUUGAAUAAUAAAAUAGGGAAUAAGGUCUAAGCGACCAACUCGAAGGCUAUUUGCAUCUCCCCGUUUAGUCGAGAAAGGACUAAUUCAUGUCAUCAAAGAUGAUAUAAAAGUUAAAAGCAAAGGCUCAGAGAGUCAUGACAGUAACUGUGACGUCAUGGCCAGAGGCUAGGUGUUCAAGUGGUUAUUUCCAGAAGAUCUGGGCAUAUCUCCCAACUCCUUAAUUCAGACUGACGAAUUCAGCUGAAAACUCACAGUUAAUAAAGACUCCAGUUGCAGCUACACAAAUAAAAACGUGUCUCUCUCUGAAGCAGCUUUCAUUUACAGACAUAAAACUUCCAGGUGAAGCUGGCAGACCCUUUACACGGUUAUUUACAUGACCAGAAGUGCCCGUGUACCUCUCUGUUAAUUGUAGCACAACCCCAGCAGUGAGUUCUUACAAAUAAGUUUUUUUUUUAAUCUGGUAAAAGAUAAGAUAAGCAGGGAGAAGAGUAGGAGAUGCAGGGGAAAUUAUUUAACAAAGUUUAAACUAGCCCCCCUUAAAAUGUCAUGGCCAAAACUUUACUAGUGAACUCCUACUUGCCUUGGUGCUGUGGAAACCAUUGCUUAUCAUCACAGGAGAUCUCAGCAAAAACAAAAAAAACAAAAAAAUGUGUAUCAGGAAGCAGCACCUUCCCACCCACCCCCCUUUUGAAACCCACUGGAGUUUCUUCAAGAAUUCCACUUUCUGGAUCUCAUGUGUCAGCUGAAGAUCCUGUGGUGAUCUGGGUAGGAACCAGACCUGACAUGCAGCCAUCUGUUCCUGGGAGGAACUUGGAAAUGUAACUAUAUUUUUAGCUAAAAAGACAAAAAAUGAUUUUGCCCAGAAUCAGGCUGUGUGUUCAAGUGGCCUUUCCUGUCUAAUCACGUGGUACUUAAAGGAUUGAUAAAGCAAACUCCUGAGUUCAUUCACCACUGAACCAGUUUCUAUUUGGAGGUUUUUCUUGAGUCUCAUAAAAGGUCCCAAAUCUUUGAAAGGUACAUCAUUGGAGCAUCAGUGGUUUCUUGCUGUCUAAUUCAAGCCUUUGAGGGCAUUUUGCUAGUAAGGAAGAAAAAAAAUCUCUGAGGUUGUAAAUGAUUUAAAAGGAAAGAAAAAAGGAAUGUAAUUUAUAAAGUUGACUGCUUAAAAUAUAAAAAAGUUUUGCAAACUGCUAAGCCAUACUUAAAUAUAACCCAAAGUUUUUUUGUUCUCCUCUAUCCAUCAGAUAGUCAAAUACUUAAUUUUAUGUGAAUUGUUCUGUACCUCAAAGCUGUGCCUUAUUGAGCUCCCUCCCUCUCCUCCAGAGAACCCAGCUCUGAAGCCCCAUUAGAAAUAAACUGCCUAAUAGCCCAAAGGAAAAACAAAUCCUCUAAAAUGGCAUUCAAUAAGUAGAGAAGUUUAAUUAUUAAGCAAUUGUUAAAUAAUGAAAAAUGAGUUCUGUCUUCUUCAUGCCUUUGUACUAUAGUCUGAACAUUGCCCUUAUACAAAUACCACUUCUAAACAUGUCAUCAUCCUCAGAAACCGAGCCUCAACCUCAAGGACUGAGGUGUGGUUAUGCAUGUAGUGUGCACUCCUGGCACAUGCAGCCCCCAGGGCAGGCCAGGCUGGGCUCUGCGUGCUUCUUCUGUCCUCUCCUAUCACCACUCUUCCACAAGAAUGUUUAAAACUCCACUUUGGAUUGGUAAAAGAUGUUUCUUAUUUAAUAGAUUGCACACCGACUUGUUUUGCUGAAAAGAAAUACUUUUAUUUGCCUACAAUUAACAAUUUUUAAAUAACAACUGAUUUGUUCCAUUUACCUUCAAAACUAUGGUGGGCACAACCUAACAACAUUUUAGCAUCCUUAUUCUAGAACAAGACUUGGCAAGUAUAGGUUCUAAAACAAGCCAAAUAUUUAACAAUUUCAUAUUCACAGGCUUUUUAAUACCACAGGAUAGGACUGUCAGUCUUUAGCAAUAAUAAUCCCUUAAGUAAAUACACAAAUGCAUUAUUCACCAAACCAUCCAGUGGUUUCACUGGAGUGGGAGAAGGAAGAUGGUUAUUGUGACAUCGUUGCUAUUAUUUAAAUUAAACUGUUGUGAAAGAAUAUACUUGUUAAUAAAACCUCCCCACCCCUCAAGAUUUCCCUUCCCCCUCUGGCAUUUUUUGACAUGCCAUCCACAGUAAAUGUAAGCAGAAUUAUGUCGAUCCUGGUACCUACUGUGUAUAAUGUUGCACCUACAGGUCAGCAAGGAAAUGCAGAGGAAAAUUAUAUAUAAGGAUAGUUGUUUGAGAAAAACAUACUUUUUUAUUACUUUAGGGUGCUGGAGUUCAAACUUUUUAUAAAUGAGUAUGUAUGUGUACACAGAGUUCUAUAAAUUCUUGUGCACACCCUCUGUAGUAGUAUCCCCGUGUUUGUACAUUAAAAGCUGCCAUGUAAUCUGUCCAUGGGGCUGGCCUAACGCAUUUAUAGAGAACUAAUGGGUCGUCUAUGCCGAAAAGCAUGCUCCUAUUUUUUAAUCCCAUCAUGUAAUGAAUUGUUUUUUACCGGUCUGAGGCUUCCACCUUUACCCAUCGUGGAUGCCCUUGUUCAAGAAAACCAUUUCAAUCACUUUUGGUUCCUGACCAUUACUACUAUGUACCUCCUUUCUCUGAAACUAUUCUUUAUUUGUAGAGCUUAUUUUCGUAUUUAAUAAUAAGAAUAAACGGCCCUUGCUGUAUAGAGACUCAGUUGAAACGAUCCGGGUGACCUCUCGCCUCGGUCCUUGCUGCGUAAUGUAACAAUCUCAAAUACUGUAUAUGAUCGGACUUGGUCAUCGGCUCCAAGCUACAGGAGACCGAAGCUACUUUUUCGUGCCGACAUUU